UACGAAGGGGGCUAGCGUUGUUCGGAAUUACUGGGCGUAAAGCGCGCGCAGGCGGUUUUCCAAGUCAGUGGUGAAAGCCCGGAGCUCAACUCCGGAAAUGCCAUUGAAACUGUAAACUUGAGGACGAGAGAGGUGAGUGGAAUUCCCAGUGUAGAGGUGAAAUUCGUAGAUAUUGGGAAGAACACCGGUGGCGAAGGCGGCUCACUGGCUCGUUUCUGACGCUCAGGCGCGAUAGCGUGGGGAUCAAACAGG
rnacentral:rRNA from 1 species